rnacentral:rRNA from 1 species
AUGUUCAGCCACAGACAUAAAGAGCAGAGUUCAGAAGCAAGUAACAGAGCAUACCAUCGUACUGUACGUAUUUGCGCUGCACAAUCUGCAUCCAGUGCACACAAGAUAGUAGCGAGCAAGAUGGUGGCCAAGGAGGCGAUCCCGCUGCUGACGCCGCACAAGAUGGGCCAGUUCGAGCUCUCCCACCGGGUGGUGCUCGCGCCGCUCACGCGCUGCCGCUCCUACGCCAACGUGCCGCAGCCGCACGCCGCGGCGUACUACUCACAGCGGGCCACCAGAGGCGGCCUCCUCAUCGCCGAGGCCACCGGCGUCUCCGCCACCGCGCAGGGGUACCCGGAGACACCCGGCAUCUGGACGCAGCAGCAGGUCGACGCCUGGAAGCCCAUCGUCGAUGCCGUCCACCGCAAGGGCGCUCUCUUCUUCUGCCAGAUUUGGCACGUUGGGAGGGUCUCCACCAACGAUUUUCAGCCGGACGGACAGGCGCCGAUCUCCAGCACUGACAAGCAAAUAACGCCUGAUGCCGAGUCUGGUAUGGUCUACUCCAAGCCCCGACAGCUUCAAACGGACGAGAUACCGCUGAUCGUUGAUGACUUCAGACGCGCUGCCAGAAACGCAAUCGAGGCGGGGUUCGACGGCGUGGAGAUCCACGGGGCACACGGGUACCUAUUGGAGCAGUUCAUGAAAGACAGCUCUAACAACCGCACCGACGAGUAUGGUGGCAGCCUCGAGAACCGAUGCCGCUUUGCAGUAGAGGUAAUCGAUGCUAUCGUCCAUGAGAUUGGUGCGGAUCGUGUAGGCAUCAGGUUGUCUCCAUUCGUGGAUUACAUGGACUGCUUCGACUCCGACCCACAUGCACUCGGGAUGUACAUGGUACAACAACUUAACAAGCAUCAAGGAUUUGUCUAUUGCCAUAUGGUAGAGCCGCGGAUGGCCAUUGUGGAUGGCCGCAGGCAGAUACCCCAUGGGCUCCUGCCCUUCAGGAAAGCAUUCAAGGGCACUUUCAUUGCCGCUGGAGGGUAUGAUCGGGAGGAAGGCAACAAAGUGGUGGCCGACGGUUAUGCUGAUCUCGUUGCUUACGGGAGAAUCUUUCUGGCUAAUCCAGAUUUGCCUAAGAGAUUCGAGCUCGACUCACCAUUGAACAAGUACGACCGCAACACUUUCUACACGCAAGAUCCUGUCAUUGGCUACACAGAUUAUCCUUUCCUUGAAGGCUCGAAUGCCGAGUAG